AUACGUAUGGUGCGAACGUUGUUCGGAAUCACUGGGCCUAAAGAGCGCGUAGGCGGCUUGGUAAGUUAGGUGUGAAAUCCCUCGGCUCAACCGGGGAACUGCACCUAAUACUACUUCGCUAGAGUGCAGGAGGGGAGAGUGGAAUUCCUGGUGGAGCGGUGAAAUGCGUAGAUAUCAGGAGGAACGCCGGUGGCGAAGGCGACUCUCUGGCCUAUAACUGACACUGAGUGUGCGAAAGCUAGGGGAGCAAACGGGAUUAGAUACCCGCGUAGUCC
rnacentral:rRNA from 1 species